AUUGAACGCUGGCGGAAUGCUUUACACAUGCAAGUCGAGCGGCAGCACGGGGGCAACCCUGGUGGCGAGCGGCGAACGGGUGAGUAAUACAUCGGAACAUGCCCAGUCGUGGGGGAUAACACUUCGAAAGAAGUGCUAAUACCGCAUACGUCCUGAGGGAGAAAGCGGGGGAUCUUCGGACCUAGCGCGAUGGGAGUGGCCGAUGUCAGAUUAGCUAGUUGGUGGGGUAAAGGCCUACCAAGGCAACGAUCUGUAGCUGGUCUGAGAGGAUGAUCAGCCACACUGGGACUGAGACACGGCCCAGACUCCUACGGGAGGCAGCAGUGGGGAAUUUUGGACAAUGGGGGCAACCCUGAUCCAGCCAUUCCGCGUGAGUGAAGAAGGCCUUCGGGUUGUAAAGCUCUUUCGGCAGGAACGAAACGGCGAGCUCUAACAUAGCUUGCUAAUGACGGUACCUGAAGAAGAAGCACCGGCUAACUACGUGCCAGCCGCCGCCGUAAGAC
rnacentral:rRNA from 1 species